UUCUCUUAAAAGCACGUCAUUCUACUACCAACGUCAGUUUCAACUCAACAGGUUCCAGCAGGAGGUGUGGAAUUCAUUUCUCGUCUAUGCCAUCAGAACAUCCCUCUUACAGCGAUGCAGCCGAACCAGCAGCAGCAGCAGCAGCAGUGCUAUGAGGAAUGGGACAGACCAACACACUUACUGAGAACAUCACCUGCUCCCCAGGUCGCCGAAUCUGAGCAUUGGACGGCCACUGCUUCCUCACCAGAAACUCACCUUGUGCUGCAUACUAGAAGAUUUCGGGUUGUGUGAGGUUCACACAGAAAUAAACUUAAUUCCACUGAAUCAGAGUCUCCCUAAGUCAUGGGGAGACUUUAUGUUGUGUAAAAUAAACCGCGAUUGAGCGACUCAGCAGAGACCCGCAGCAGCUAAU